rnacentral:sRNA from 1 species
AUAGGCAUUGCUUAAGAGCGCUGGAACGCGUCUGUCGCUCGCAAUAGCCUUCAUCGCUUGAUGCUUUUGACCACGGAUGUACUGGCACUGGUAGUAAAGCGAUGAUCAGGAAGGUCGGGUGCGUUUUCGCCCCGGCCUUUUUUGUU